AGCAUUGUUCGCAUUGCUCUAAGUUGUCCGAAUUGUUAAGGAUAUUAUUUUUGCCAAACAAAGUUGGAUAGGCGUUUAUUUCCCCGUCUUUUUGUUUAGUAACUGUUUUCCAAACUUUUAUUGGUGGAAUUGUGUUCUCUUCUAGUUCUCUAUGCAUCUAAAUUAUUUUCUCUGAUUAAGAAUUUGUAUGGAUUGUAACUUUUGAAACACGUGGAUUGUAACAUUCAGGCAGAUAUGCAAGUGAGGGAGAAAAUCUUGGUCUUGCUUGACUCUUGGCAAGAAGCUUUUGGUGGGCCUGGAGGAAAGCAUUCUCAAUAUUAUUGGGCAUAUGAUGAAUUAAGGCGUUCUGGAGUAGAAUUUCCCAAGCGUUCAUUAGACGCUGUCCCUAUUUUCUAUAUGUAGUUUUUAUUACAUGAAAAAUAAUAUUUUUGAAAGGUUAAUAUUCUCCAAAGGUUUGUUGUAAGAGACAUUCUUUGUUGAUGACACUGUGAAGUUGACAUAGAUGUUAUGCAUCAGGGAAUUCCUGAAAAGGCAGAUGUUCCACCAGUUGCCCAAGUUCCUGCUCAGGCAGCAGCAAACUCCCCUGCAAUCAUUCCUCCAGUGCAAGCAUCACAACCUGCUGCUGCACUUGCUAUUGUCCCUAAUGCAAAUCCACUGGAUCUCUUCUCACAGGUAGCUAUUGUUCUACCUCUUAACUUUUGAAUUCUUCCCUCAGAUAGAUGCUCCUUUGAAGUUUGAAUUGUAUUAUAUGAUCAGCUAAUUAAUAAAAUAUAUUACUAUUCUUGAAUCAGGGCCUACCAAAUGUGGGUGCAAAUGCUGGUGCUGGCAAUUUGGAUUUUCUUCGAAACAGUCAAUAGGUACUUGAUUUUUUUCCUUUCUUUUUUUCUCUUAUCCAUAUGGAGCUUUACUCUUUUUUAUUGUUGUAGUCAUGGUUGAUUUUUUUUUCUCUAACUUUCAUUGUAGUUCCAAGCAUUGCGAGCUAUGGUGCAAGCAAACCCUCAAAUUUAGCAGGUUAGGCUUCUCAUAAAGAAACAAAAUGCCAGUUGAUAGCUUGGUCAUUUUGGUGGCAGACGGACACUAAAUAGUACUCAGGCUAGACUUAUUGUUUUGCAGCCUAUGCUUCAAGUGCUAGGGAAACAAAAUCCACAUCUUGUGCAUCUCAUAUAAGAGCCUCAGGCUGACUUUUUGCGCCUGAUAAAUGAACCUGUCAAGGGAGGAGAAGGGUGAGAUGAAUGCAGUUUUUUUUUAUUUUUUUUUUUAUAUAAAUAAGUUUUUAUUAUCUACUUGACACAUGCUAAUUUUUCAUUUUUAUUAUACAAUCAGGAACGUUCUAAGCAUGCAUUUUUCUGUUGAAAUAUGUUUUGGCUUUAAGGUCUGUUAACUAUUUUUUUGCACUUUGGAAUUGGCACAAAUGGGAAUGUUCAAUUUGUUGUGUUUUGAUUAUUUAAAAAUUUGCAAAGAGUUUCUUUUCUUGAUAGGCUUGUUUGAUUUUUCUAUAAAUUUUUUGGUUUACCAUGUUCUUUCUAUUGAUAUAUUUUUUUUCUUUAUGCUCUAGGCGGUGUGUUUUGCUUUAAUGGGCAUUGGCAGCUCAUUUCAUGCUCAAGAAACUGCUGUGAGUGGGUAAUUGGAGAGUCGAGUGUGGUUCUGGCCUUCGGGUACUGUGUGACUUCAGGCCAUCAACUACAGAGGUUAACAUAACAAUAAAGCUUUUACUUGUGUUGCUUUUCUCGACAGUGGAGUUUUGUUGUCCCAGUUCACGUUUUGGUGGCAUGAUAGACAUGGAAUUUGUCGAGGACGUGACUAAUAUUUCUAAUGUGUCUGGGAUUACUACCCAUUCUUUGCAACUGUA